rnacentral:rRNA from 1 species
ACGAACGCUGGCGGCGUGCCUAACACAUGCAAGUCGAACGGAACUUCUUUAAAGGAUUUCUUCGGAAUGAAUUUGAUUAAGUUUAGUGGCGGACGGGUGAGUAACGCGUGAGUAACCUGCCUCUGAGAGGGGAAUAACAUUCUGAAAAGAAUGCUAAUACCGCAUAAUAUAUAUUUAUCGCAUGGUAGAUAUAUCAAAGAUUUAUCGCUUAGAGAUGGACUCGCGUCCGAUUAGUUAGUUGGUGAGGUAACGGCUCACCAAGACUGCGAUCGGUAGCCGGACUGAGAGGUUGAACGGCCACAUUGGGACUGAGACACGGCCCAGACUCCUACGGGAGGCAGCAGUGGGGGAUAUUGCGCAAUGGGGGAAACCCUGACGCAGCAACGCCGCGUGAAGGAUGAAGGUCUUCGGAUUGUAAACUUCUUUUAUUAAGGACGAAGAAAGUGACGGUACUUAAUGAAUAAGCUCCGGCUAACUACGUGCCAGCAGCCGCGGUAAUACGUAGGGAGCAAGCGUUGUCCGGAUUUACUGGGUGUAAAGGGUGCGUAGGCGGCUUUGCAAGUCAGAUGUGAAAUCUAUGGGCUCAACCCAUAGCCUGCAUUUGAAACUGCAGAGCUUGAGUGAAGUAGAGGCAGGCGGAAUUCCCCGUGUAGCGGUGAAAUGCGUAGAGAUGGGGAGGAACACCAGUGGCGAAGGCGGCCUGCUGGGCUUUAACUGACUCUGAGGCACGAAAGCGUGGGUAGCAAACAGGAUUAGAUACCCUGGUAGUCAACACAGUAAACGAUGAAUACUCGCUGUUUGCGAUAUACAGUAAGCGGCCAAGCGAAAGCAUUAAGUAUUCCACCUGGGGAGUACGCCGGCAACGGUGAAACUCAAAGGAAUUGACGGGGGCCCGCACAAGCAGUGGAGUAUGUGGUUUAAUUCGAAGCAACGCGAAGAACCUUACCAGGUCUUGACAUCCUACUAACGAGAUAGAGAUAUGUUAGGUGCCCUUCGGGGAAAGUAGAGACAGGUGGUGCAUGGUUGUCGUCAGCUCGUGUCGUGAGAUGUUGGGUUAAGUCCCGCAACGAGCGCAACCCUUAUUGUUAGUUGCCAUCAUUUAGUUGGGCACUCUAGCGAGACUGCCGGUGACAAACCGGAGGAAGGUGGGGAUGACGUCAAAUCAUCAUGCCCCUUAUGACCUGGGCUACACACGUACUACAAUGGACAUAAACAGAGGGAAGCAAAACAGCGAUGUGGAGCAAACCCCUAAAAAUGUUCUCAGUUCAGAUUGCAGGCUGCAACCCGCCUGUAUGAAGAUGGAAUUGCUAGUAAUCGCAGAUCAGCAUGCUGCGGUGAAUACGUUCCCGGGCCUUGUACACACCGCCCGUCAAGCCAUGGGAGCCGGGGGUACCUGAAGUGCGUAACCGCAAGGAGCGCCCUAGGGUAAAACUGGUGACUGGGGCU